GGAUAUGUAGCAGAUGGUUCUGCGUUUUGAUUGCAAAUCUUAAAUAUGGGGUUCAAUUCCUCCAUAUCCCU
rnacentral:tRNA from 1 species